GACGAACGCUGGCGGCGUGCUUAACACAUGCAAGUCGAACGGAAAGGCCCUGCUUUUGUGGGGUGCUCGAGUGGCGAACGGGUGAGUAACACGUGAGUAACCUGCCCUUGACUUUGGGAUAACUUCAGGAAACUGGGGCUAAUACCGGAUAGGAGCUCCUGCUGCAUGGUGGGGGUUGGAAAGUUUCGGCGGUUGGGGAUGGACUCGCGGCUUAUCAGCUUGUUGGUGGGGUAGUGGCUUACCAAGGAUUUGACGGGUAGCCGGCCUGAGAGGGUGACCGGCCACAUUGGGACUGAGAUACGGCCCAGACUCCUACGGGAGGCAGCAGUGGGGAAUAUUGCACAAUGGGCGGAAGCCUGAUGAAGCAACGCCGCGUGCGGGAUGACGGCCUUCGGGUUGUAAACCGCUUUCGCCUGUGACGAAGCGUGAGUGACGGUAAUGGGUAAAGAAGCACCGGCUAACUACGUG
rnacentral:rRNA from 1 species